AAGUAUAAAUUUAUUAAUUGUUUAAUUUUAUUUUAUGUUUAAUAAAAAUAAUUUUAGAAUUUAAAUUUUGAGUAUAUUUUAUAGAAAAAAUAAUAUUUAUUAUAAGGAAAUAGUAUUGUGAAAGAAAAUUGAAAUAUAAUGAAAAUAAUUUUAAUUAAAAGAAAUAUUUAUUUUAUGUACCUUUUGUAUCAGGGUUUAUUAAAUAAGAUUUAUUUAUGAAUAAAUUUCUCGAAUUUAAAAGAUUUAAUGGAUUAAAAAAGUUAAUGUUGAAUAAUUAUUUUUAAUAAUUCAUUAGUAAUGAAAUGUUACUCGUUUUUAAAUAUAUCUAGUUUUUUAAGAAAUGAAUUUAAUUCAUAUAUUUUUUAGGUAAAUUGUUAUUUUUGUAAUGAUUUAUUAAUUAAUAUAAAUAUAUUAGGGGAUAAGCUUUAAUUUAAAGUCUAUAAAUUUGAUUUAUUAAAUAUAAAUAUAAGGUUAGAAAUAUCUAUUAUUAAUAAGUUUGUUUUAAUUUAUAUUUUUUUAAUAUAAUUUAUUUAUUUUUUUAGAUUUUUUAUUAGAAUGAAUAUUUUAAUAAGGAAAAUAUUGUAAUAAUGAUAAAAUUAGUAUAAUUUAUUGUUAAUUUUGAAUAAUUUAUAAAGAUUAAGUUAAGGAAUUCGGCAAAAUUAAUACUCACCUGUUUAACAAAAACAUGUCUUUUUGAUAAUAAUUUAAAGUCUAACCUGCCCACUGAUAAUUUUUGAAGGGCCGCGGUAUUUUGACUGUGCAAAGGUAGCAUAAUCAUUAGUCUUUUAAUUGAAGGCUUGUAUGAAUGGUUGGAUGAGGUAUUAACUGUCUCAAUUUAAUAAAUAAUAGAAUUUUAUUUUUAAGUUAAAAAGCUUAAAUAAUUUUAAAAGACGAGAAGACCCUAUAGAUCUUUAUAUAUUAAUUUUUAAUAAUUUUUUAGUUUAAAUUUGUUUUUAUUAAUUAAUAUAUUGAAUUGGGGUGAUUAAAAAAUUUAGUAAACUUUUUUUUAUUAGUUAACAAUGAUUUUUGAAUAGUUGAUCCAUUUUUUGUGAUUAAAAGAUUAAGUUACCUUAGGGAUAACAGCGUAAUUUUUUUGGAGAGUUCUUAUCGAUAAGAAAGAUUGCGACCUCGAUGUUGAAUUAAAGGUUAAUUUUAGGUGUAGAAGUUUAAAAUUUUGGUCUGUUCGACCAUUAAAUCUUUACAUGAUUUGAGUUCAAACCGGCGUGAGCCAGGUUGGUUUCUAUCUUUAAUUAAAUAAAAUACUUUAGUACGAAAGGACCAGGUAUUUGAAAUAAUUUUUUUAUAAUUGAAUAAUAUUAAU
rnacentral:rRNA from 1 species